AGAGGUCAAGUCUGCUGGAGACUGCUCCUUCUAAUCAACCACAGGUGCUUCAGAAGGCUCACUUCAUGUCUGAGACAAAGAAUAUCCUCAGGGAGGGGGGGUCAGAGCGAGAGCACUUCUAUUGCUCCAGCAGCAAUGGAUGAGCCUCACAGAGAAAGUGGACUGCAUGUCUUCAGGAUCCUCGCACCACUGCACCAGAGAGCCCCCAAGACCCGAGCAACGGAGCAGGAUGUGCUGGGAGUCGAUGUGGCUCCAGCAGGUGUUGAUUGACAGCUGCCUCAUACUAGAGAACAUAAAAGUUCAAGAGCAGCCUCAUCAUCUCCUCUUCAAAAAGAAGAUCCAGAUCACAGACCAGAUGACUCGGCUGGGUGUCUAUCUGCACCUCUGACAUGAUGCAAGGCCUCAGCCUUGACUGGCCCGGUGGGUGCUCACGUCCCUGCAUGGCAGAGCAGCAGGCUGAGGCAUCUCUCUCCACCGCCAUCCCUCCACUUCCUUCUUCCUUCUUCCAAAGUGUGCUGGUCCUGCUCAUGCUGCCACCCCUGAGCUUCUUGAAGGCUGCCUUUUCUCUGUCCACGGCGUGACUUCCGAAACUCCUUUCGGACAGGAUGUAGGAAGUGUUUGGAGCAUUGCAGAGGAAAACAAAGGCAGUCUUCGGCAGGUUAAUGAGGCCAGGAGGCAGCUUUGUGCCAAGCUUCAUCAGUAUUCACCAGAGGUCUCCCUCUCUCGCUCUCCCAAUAAUAUCCCAGUCAUUUAGGUCUGGUUGAGCUGCACAGACGUACAGGAUAGCGGGUCUCUGCAGCAAACUGGAGGGGAGCACCAUCCUCCAUGGCCUGGACUUCUUCGAGAUCGAUCUGUUCUCCCUUAAAAAACAAGCUAAAUGCUGGGGAAGAUGGAACAUCUGGAAGGUUGGUGACUUUGCUACACUACAGACGGAGAGCAAGGAGAGCACAGCACAGGACACGUUAAAAAAUAACACCAGAGAGAACUAAAGGAACUGUACACAGAUCUGCGAUGAGCUACGGUGCUCCUUUGACCAAACCCGGCAGUGCAUUCAACCUGGUGAACAUCAUAUCACUGGGACUUGACAAGUUUGCUGACAGGAUCUGUGAGAUCUCUGGAGCUCUCCAUAGAACAGCUCCUGGCUAAGACGGUGUUCACCCUGCGCUCCCCGGCGGUGCUGCAGCUGUCUAAACAGGACCGCUUUGAUUUGGCCUGCAUGCCGUCACCUCCUCGCUCCACCACGCUGGAAAGAAAUUGUGCUCUUUUUCUCAGUGCUUCUAAUAAAGAGAUCCUGCUAAUGGCUAUGAAGGACAUGGACAUUGCUAAGCUGACCUGCCACUGCAGGUGGUGCAGUGUUCCCUGCUGAAACAUCAAUUAUGGACUAUCGCAAGAUCCUAGUAUCCCCUGAAUUCUGUGACAAUGAGUCUUGGACAGCUAUAUGGAGAAAACGACCUCUCCACCAGCGAGUGAACUGACUGAGUGCUUUCUUCCCUCAUGAGACCAGCCUGCACAGAUGAGGAACCAGAUUAGAAGUGGAUUGACGGAACUGUAGACACACUGAGGAUAUGACAACUCUGUCAUGGAUGACAACCAGGUUCCCACAUUCAUCAUCAGAGGGAAAUCUCAUGCCUGAACAGAUCACUUCUAAUAACAUCCAGGUCAUGGUGGAGAGCCACAAAGAGAAGAGAACCAAAGGUGUGCUAGUGCCAGCAGGCAGGAAACACCAGCUGAGCUGCCUGGAUGACCUUAACAUACCUGCACCUGACCACUUUGGCUCCCAGCCACCGCUGGACUACGGCUUCUGUUUCAACAACCAUGUGUGUGGGACUAAUUGCUCACAAGAACCAUGUAUGAUGAUUCCUUUUCAUAGGAGUCCCAGAUCAGGCAGAUCUACGGUACCAUGAUCAAACAAAAGCUACAUGGGAUUAAGGAGGACAAGAAGUCCAUUGGAGAUUCAGGCUACAUUAAAACUGUAUUAUGCUG